UACGUAGGUGGCAAGCGUUGUCCGGAUUUAUUGGGCGUAAAGAGCGCGCAGGUGGUUGAUUAAGUCUGAUGUGAAAGCCACGGCUCAACCGUGGAAGGUCAUUGGAAACUGGGGAACUUGAGUGCAGAAGAGGAGAGUGGAAUUCCAUGUGUAGCGGUGAAAUGCGUAGAUAUAUGGAGGAACACCAGUGGCGAAGGCGACUCUCUGGUCUGUAACUGACGCUGAGGCUCGAAAGCGUGGGGAGCAAACAGGAUUA
rnacentral:rRNA from 1 species